AGUGAACGCUGGCGGUAGGCCUAACACAUGCAAGUCGAACGGCAGCACAGUAAGAGCUUGCUCUUACGGGUGGCGAGUGGCGGACGGGUGAGGAAUACAUCGGAAUCUACUUUUUCGUGGGGGAUAACGUAGGGAAACUUACGCUAAUACCGCAUACGACCUACGGGUGAAAGCAGGGGAUCUUCGGACCUUGCGCGAUUGAAUGAGCCGAUGUCGGAUUAGCUAGUUGGCGGGGUAAAGGCCCACCAAGUCGACGAUCCGUAGCUGGUCUGAGAGGAUGAUCAGCCCCACUGGAACUGGAACGCGUACCAGACUCCUACGGGAGGCAGCAGUGGGGAAUAUUGGACAAUGGUCGCAAGCCUGAUCCAACCAUACCACGUGGGUGAAGAAGGCCUUCAGGUUGUAAAGCCCUUUUGUUGGGAAAGAAAAGCAGCAGGUUAAUACCCCGCUGUUCUGACGGUACCCAAAGAAUAAGCACCGGCUAACUUCGUG
rnacentral:rRNA from 1 species